rnacentral:sRNA from 1 species
UGACUACCGCAGCGAUGUCACGGGCUGA